ACUCCUACGGGAGGCAGCAGUCGGGGAAUAUUUGCACAAUGGGCGCAAGCCUGAUGCAGCCAUGCCGCGGUGUAUGAAGAAGGCCUUCGGGUUGUAAAGUACUUUCAGCAGUGAGGAAGGUGGAUAUGUUAAUAGCAUAUUCCAUUUGACGUUAGCUGCAGAAGAAGCACCGGCUAACUCCGUGCCAGCAGCCGCGGUAAUACGGAGGGUGCGAGCGUUAAUCGGAAUUACUGGGCGUAAAAGCGCAUGCAGGUGGUUUGUUAAGUCAGAUGUG
rnacentral:rRNA from 1 species